rnacentral:tRNA from 1 species
UGCCCAGAUAGCUCAGUUGGUAGAGCAGCGGACUGAAAAUCCGCGUGUCCGUGGUUCGAAUCCGCGUCUGGGCACCAU